rnacentral:rRNA from 1 species
UACGUAGGGUGCAAGCGUUGUCCGGAAUUAUUGGGCGUAAAGAGCUCGUAGGCGGCUUGUCACAUCGGAUGUGAAAAUCCAGGGCUCAACCCUGGACCUGCAUUCGAUACGGGCAGGCUAGAAUUCGGUAGGGGAGUCUGGAAUUCCUGGUGUAGCGGUGAAAUGCGCAGAUAUCAGGAGGAACACCGGUGGCGAAGGCGGGACUCUGGGCCGAUAUUGACGCUGAGGAGCGAAAGCGUGGGGAGCGAACAGG